GGUCAAGUGAUUAAGCGCACAUGGUGGAUGCCUUGGCAGUUAGAGGCGAUGAAAGACGUAGGAGCCUGCGAUAAGGCUAGGGGAGCUGGCACACAAGCUUUGAUCCUAGCAUUUCUGAAUGGGGAAACCCACUGAGCUUGCUCAGUAUCGUGCACUGAAUACAUAGGUGUACGAGGCGAACCCGGGGAACUGAAACAUCUAAGUACCCGGAGGAAAAGAAAUCAACCGAGAUUCCCUAAGUAGCGGCGAGCGAAAGGGGAGCAGCCGAUGAUUUAAGAGGUAGUGGAACAGUCUGGAAAGUCUGGCGAUACAGGGUGAUAGCCCCGUACACGAAAUCUCUUAAGUCACAUAUUAAGUAGGACGGGACACGUGUUAUCUUGUCUGAAGAUGGGGGGACCAUCCUCCAAGGCUAAAUACUCCUAACUGACCGAUAGUGAACCAGUACCGUGAGGGAAAGGCGAAAAGAACCCCGGAGAGGGGAGUGAAAUAGAUCCUGAAACCGUGUGCGUACAAGCAGUUGGAGCUCUUCGGAGUGACAGCGUACCUUUUGUAUAAUGGGUCAGCGACUUAUUGUAUGUGGCCAGGUUAACCGCUUAGGGGAGCCGUAGGGAAACCGAGUCUUAAUAGGGCGUCCAGUCGCAUGCAAUAGACCCGAAACCCGGCGAUCUAUCCAUGGGCAGGUUGAAGGUUAGGUAACACUGACUGGAGGACCGAACCCACUAACGUUGAAAAGUUAGGGGAUGACCUGUGGAUCGGAGUGAAAGGCUAAUCAAGCCGGGAGAUAGCUGGUUCUCCCCGAAAACUAUUUAGGUAGUGCGUCAUGUCUCACCCACGGGGGUAGAGCACUGUUUGGGCUAGGGGGUCAUCCCGACUUACCAACCCCAUGCAAACUCCGAAUACCGUGGAGUGCAAUCAUGGCAGACAGACUGCGGGUGCUAACGUCCGUAGUCAAGAGGGCAACAACCCAGACCGCCAGCUAAGGUCCCAAAUAUCAGUUAAGUGGGAAACGAUGUGGGAAGGCUUAGACAGCUAGGAGGUUGGCUUAGAAGCAGCCACCCUUUAAAGAAAGCGUAAUAGCUCACUAGUCGAGUCGGCCUGCGCGGAAGAUUUAACGGGGCUCAAACUGAUAACCGAAGCUGCGGAUACUUUCGAGUAUGGUAGGGGAGCGUUCUGUAAGCCUGUGAAGGUGAACUGAGAAGUUUGCUGGAGGUAUCAGAAGUGCGAAUGCUGACAUGAGUAACGAUAAGGGGAGUGAAAAACUUCCCCGCCGGAAGAUCAAGGUUUCCUGUCCAACGCUAAUCGGGACAGGGUUAGUCGGCCCCUAAGGCGAGGCAGAAAUGCGUAGUCGAUGGGAAGCGCGUUAAUAUUCGUGCACCGACUGUUACUGCGAUGGAGGGACGGAGUAGGCUAGGCGAGCACGGCGUUGGUUGUCCGUGUUUAAGCUUGUAGGCUGGUGACUUAGGUAAAUCCGGGUUGCUAAGGCUGAGAGGUGAUGACGAGUCCUCUUUUGGACGAAGUCGUUGAUGCCAUGCUUCCAAGAAAAUCUUCUAAGCUUCAGGUAACAGUUGACCGUACUGUAAACCGACACAGGUGAUCAGGUAGAGAAUACCAAGGCGCUUGAGAGAACUCGGGUGAAGGAACUAGGCAAAAUAGUACCGUAACUUCGGGAGAAGGUACGCCGGUUUUGGUGAUGGGACUUGCUCCCUAAGCUGAGACUGGUCGAAGUGACCAGGUGGCUGCGACUGUUUAUUAAAAACAUAGCACUCUGCAAACACGAAAGUGGACGUAUAGGGUGUGACGCCUGCCCGGUGCCGGAAGGUUAAUUGAUGGGGUUAGCUUCGGCGAAGCUCUUGAUCGAAGCCCCGGUAAACGGCGGCCGUAACUAUAACGGUCCUAAGGUAGCGAAAUUCCUUGUCGGGUAAGUUCCGAC
rnacentral:rRNA from 1 species